ensembl:processed_transcript
AAACGGAGCAACGACACGACACCUGACCGUCAACAGCACUUCUCUCAUGCGGCAGUUUUCACUAAUUUCAGUGCUCUGUGGUUUCAGAAGUGACAAAAUUACCCCUACAACAGAAGAGAAGAGCCAAGAUGAAGGGAGCUAAUCACUGAGCUGGAGGAAACACAGAUUUUGGAUCGUCCUCCACUCACUCUACCACUUUGUUUUUCCUUGCCAGACUUCAUUCAAGGAUAAGAAAGAAGCCUGCUACAAGAGAAACAGCGGAAGGGAGCCUCCAAGACAUUUUUAUUAGGAUCUGCUAAUCAUGAGGGGGCAGACAAAAGAACCUGCAUUUUCCUUCAGCUUAAUAUCAGGGGUCGCCACAGCGUAAGGAACUGGAUAUUACUUUGGCAUAUGUUUUACACAGCGGAUGGCCUUCCAGCUGCAACCCAGCACAGUGAAACACCCAUACACUCUCGUAUUCACAGACACUUCUACACUAUAUUCAAAUUUACCUAUAGCACAAGUGUUUGGACUGUGGUGGAAACCCACACCAAAACAGGGAGAACAUGCAAACUCCACACAGAAACGCCAGCAGACCCAACCGGGACUCAUACCAGCAACCUUUUUGCUGUGAGGUGACAGUCUGAGCCACUGGGCUGCCCCAGUGUAGUUAUUAAUAACCUGCAGAUGUUUUACUGUUUGAUUUUGUAAUAAUAAUGCACAUUUAGAUUUAUUGUAAUAUGUAUUUUAAAAUUUAUUCACAAUGUAAUUUAUUUUUAUGUUAUUUAUAAUAACGUUAAAUGUCAUAAGAAAGUUAUAAUUUAAUAUAAUAUUAUAAUAAAUAAUUAUAAUAAUGUUAAAAUAUAAAUAAUACAAAUUUAUUUAUAAUGUUUUUAAGUUUAUUUUUUUAAUGAGAAGUCUCAAAGUCUUCAAAGUUGUCUUUAUUAUAGAAAACUCAUUGUUGAAUGGCUACCACUUUACAAUAAGGUUGUAUGUAUUAGUUAAUGUAUUUACUAACAUAUUAAACAAUACAUUUAUUACAGUAUUCAUCUUUGCUAAUGUUGGUAAAUG